GACGAACGCUGGCGGCGUGCUUAACACAUGCAAGUCGAACGGAAAGGCCCUGCUUUUGUGGGGUGCUCGAGUGGCGAACGGGUGAGUAACACGUGAGUAACCUGCCCUUGACUUUGGGAUAACUUCAGGAAACUGGGGCUAAUACCGGAUAGGAGCUCCUGCUGCAUGGUGGGGGUUGGAAAGUUUCGGCGGUUGGGGAUGGACUCGCGGCUUAUCAGCUUGUUGGUGGGGUAGUGGCUUACCAAGGCUUUGACGGGUAGCCGGCCUGAGAGGGUGACCGGCCACAUUGGGACUGAGAUACGGCCCAGAAUACUACGGGAGGCAGCAGUGGGGAAUAUUGCAAAAUGGGCGGAAGCCUGAUGAAGCAACGCCGAGUGCGGGAUGACGGCUUUAGGGUUGUAAACAGCUUUCGACUGUGACGAAGCGUGAGUGACGGUAAUGGGUAAAGAAGCAACGGCUAACUACGUG
rnacentral:rRNA from 1 species